AACCCUUAUAAUUCUCCCUCUCUCUCUCCCCUGCCGUCGUCUCUCUUCUUCUCUCUCUCGCCGUUGUCUCUCUUCCGUUCAAGAACCUAAAAGUAAGGCACUUUGGUGAUUUUCAAGGUAGCUGAAGGCUAUAUAAAGGGAAAAAAUUUGGUUAAGAGAAAACCAGUCUUUAUACAGCAACAUAGUACUCUUCUAUGGAAGAAAACACAAUACAAAGCAUGAGUUUAAAUCAAAUUCAAGAUUGAAGGAGGAUUUCUUAAGGUAAAAUUUAUUUUUCUUCAAUGCAAGAAGUAAAUCAAAAAUUCGAUUUUUCUUUGAUUAUAUCAUUUACUAAUUUCGUUUUUAAGGUGAAUGAUGAAAGGUAGUAAUAUACUUUUUGCUAUUUGUUGGUAUUUAAUUGAAUUUUUUCAGACUAAAUGCCUUAAUUAAGGAAUAAUUUUAAUUUACAUUCAAAUAAUAAGUUGACUUAAUUAUGUUGAAUUGAUUAUACUGGAGAGAGGUUAUCAAUUAAGUAAAGGGAUUCAGUCAAAUACACAGAGUCAAUUGUUGUUAGAAAUUGAUUGUUAGAAUUGCAGGAAUAAUAUGAUGAAUUUGACAAACUCAUAAUCCUUUAAUUUUACCCUACAAAGCAAAAACCAAUUUCUGUAUUAGACUAUUUGAGAAUUAAGAUUUUGGUUAUAGUUCUACCCUGUUCUUGUUUACUUAUAGCAUAUUAUAGAUUGCUGUUUCUCAGUUUCGGAAUAUAUCCACUUAUGUAGAAGUCAAAAUUACUGGUAGCUGGUGUUGUUCUUGGGUAUGUUUGGGUAAUUAAAGUUGCCAUAUUCAUUAAAAUGAUUGUUUUUGUUUCUGUUUUUCUUUUUUUUUUUUUCAGUCCAUUAUGAGCCUGCCUUAGACUUUUGGUAUGCAAAUGAAAACACCAAACGCUCACUUAUAGAAUUUGCUAUCUAUUGUGGAGUGUCAAAUAGAAAAUUACAACCUUUCCAUAUUGAUAAUAUCCUGUUAUAGCAGUGUUUUAAUAUUGUGGAUAUUUGAUUAAGCAUGUAAAUGUUGCUAUUACAGGUAUGGAUCUUGAUGAACAAUGUGCAUACCACUUUGAGUUAAUUGUGGAUCUUGAUGAACAAUGUGCAUUUAUUGAGGUUUUUCUAAAUAUCUUUAUUGGCUAUCAUUUAUUUCAACAUUUUGGAAAAAAUGAAGUAAUGCAGUCUUUUUCAUUCUCCAGUUUUUAUCUUAUGGACAGGGUUUUGUUUCAUUACCUUGGUAAUUUUAAGUGGAAAAAAUACUUAUAUAUGAUCAUUCUCCCCUCCCUUUCUUUGUUUCUAAACAUUGUGAAUGUAAUAGAAUGUGUUGAACAUUGUGAAAAAAAUUGGUCUCUCAACAACCCCUCUAUCGACUUGGAGUUUCGAGUCAGGUGACAAUCUGUUUCUAGUUUGGUCUUAGUUGAAGUUUAUCAAACAGCAUAUUCCUCUAUUUGAAUUAAAAGGGGAUAGACUGCAACUAGAGGUAGAAAGAUGAAAGGGUAAUAUUCUAGUUCUAAAAAUAAGACUAAGAAGAACUUUCUUCAAGUUAUGGGGAUAGGAGUUUGGACAUUAAGGGGAAAAAACAUGAUUGGAGAGAAUUUGGAGCCACAACAUCGAAGAAAAAUACAAAUACCGAUGGGAUUUCAGGCAAUUAUUUAACCCGGUGACGUUAUUUUUUCAAGUUAUUAUGUAUUUUGUAAUUUUCUCCAUGCUAGGGUAGAAAUUCUUAUGCUAUGAGAUCGAUGAACCUUGUAAUGUGAUUCUUAAUUCAUUCUUUCAUAUUUUUGACAUUAAAACACGUUUGAUUAUUUUGAAUGAUUUAUAUACAUUUAAUUUCUUUCGCAAUUAAGGGCCCGUAAUUGUGUGAGUUUUGGUAACUUAUUUCUUGCAUUCGAGAGAAGGGAAAUACGUUCAACAAGGUAUAAAUCAUCGUAGGGUCUGAUAGGGGAUAAAUAUAUACCGCUAUACUCUGCGUGAAUCUUUAAGUGCUCACAAAACUACAUGAAUUCUUGUAUAUUUGCACCCGUCAUAGAGAUAUAGGCUGGUGGUAUAUGAGAGUAGGUUCAACUUUGCUCGAGAGAAACUGUUGGAUAGAUUUAGGAGCAUUGGUCCUUCAUAAUUUCAACGUAUUGUCAAAUUAUAGAACUAGGGUUGAAUUAAGCAUUGCUUGGGAAUUCGUGAUCCCAGUACAUUAUUCAAUCUCUGAAUACAUUACAUUGAGUUCUCAACAUUUAAUAGCAUUUUAGUUCAUUUAAACAUCAAUUUUCAUUUUGUUCAUUGCCUGCAUAAUUAGCUUAGGUUAGGGAGUAAUUAUAUUAUAAAAUCACUUGUCAAAAUUUAGUUUCGGUUAAGGUCUAGAAUAAAUAACAUUUAACUAACUCAAUCUCAGUGGGCGAUAUUCGGAACUUUAAAUUCCACUAUAUUACUUGUCACGAACCGUACACUUGCGAUAGUUUUAAAUCGAAAUAAAUAAUUUCGUGAACACUAGACCAGGCUGACUUAUUGGUGGAAUAUUUGAAGUUCUAUGAGAAACAUCCAAUGCCAUGGAGAAUUAUCCGUUCUCAUGUGCACAAGUUGGUGGUACAUGUUUUAAUUUUAUUUUGGAAAAUAGAAUGUGUUGAAUAUUUUACAAGUUUCGAAUUGUUGGAUCAAAGAACAGAUUUUCAGUACCGUAGUAAGCAUAUAUGAAAAAGUGCGAAUUAAUUUUAAAAAAAUAUAAAAAUGACCAAUGACAACAUUUGCAAAAUGUUGCCAAAACCUAAGGAUAAAAUAAGAUAAUGUUGCAAAAACGUUGCAAAAAAUUAACGGCAAAGUUGAAAAAACAUUGCAGAAAAGUUGACGGCACCAUUAAAAAAAUAUUGCAAAAAGUUCAACGGUUACGUUGAAAAAACACUACAAAAAUGUUAAAUUGUAAAAAAAUUAACGGUAACGCUGAAAAAUGUUGCAAAAACAUCUUCAGCAACAAUUUUUAAACGUUACAAAAAAGUCCUUUUGCAAAGGUGAAUAACUUUUGUUGUAUUCUACCCUCAACAGCAACAUCGAUCCCCACAACACAUGCUAAAACGCUGCAAAUGACCUUCUGCUAUGUUUUUUUACUGCUGCAAAAGCCCUUUUUUUGGUAUAGUGACGUUUAUAACUUCUAUUUCAAAUGAAAACUAUAACCUAAAAGUCCAUGUAUACACCAUUAACAUUUCACUACCAUUGUUUUUAAUCCCAUUUUAGUUAAUAACAAUCACCAUUAUAAUCUUGGAACUGAAAAACAAAAAUCUCCUACAACCUCUUAAGCUACGUUUUCUCUCCCAAACUAUUAUACCUAUACAUAAAAUUAUUUUGCCCUUUUUCCAUAAACACAAGGCACUUGAAUUUGAAAAUUUUCUAAAGAAGAGAUAAAGAGUAUGCUGGAUUUUGUUACAUAUUGAGUGCAAAAGGAUAUACAAACUCCAAGUAGUUAAGUUAGGGAUCUUUUGACACUUUUCUAAGGGGAGUAAAAAAAUUUGUUGUUUUCGAUUCGCAUUAACGUGUUAUUGUUUUACUCAUGAGAGAAUGGAAGCACCCUUUGGUGUUUCAACUAUAAGAUGAAGAGGAAACACCCUUUGGUAUUUCAACUAAGAGAUGAAGAGGAAGCACCCUUUGGUAUUUCAACUAGAGAUGAAUUUUGAUUCAUGAAAAGGGAUUGUUAAAACCUAAGAGUAUGCAGACUAUUUGAUCUUCGGUUCGCUUUAAAAUUGACGGUGACGCAAAUAACCAAAGAUUGCAAUUUUAGAAAACAUAUAUUUCUUAUCAACUAACCUGAAUUUAUAGGUUAGCUGAUGGGAUGGCAGUGGCUUGACAUGGUGGCAAGUGAUCGGUGAUUUGAAAUGCUCUCAACUUUCUAGAAGAAAGAUUUCCAGUUGUGUAUACCUUUUCUGAACAUUUAGAUGGCACUUUUAAAAUGUUUAAUUUUCUGAGCCGUCUAGUUUAAUAUACAUUUCAUGUCAGCCAUAAUUUGAAAAUACUGAAAUGACUAUGCAUAAAGUUUAUUUGUUGCUAGAUUGAAUUUGAGAUUAUGUCCUUCCAUUUGGAAAUGGUAUAGCUUGGGCCAUG
rnacentral:lncRNA from 1 species